CCCCACGCCGCUCCUCUCUUCGCGCCGCCGCCCACCCUCCACCCACCGGCCGCCCUCUCCUCGGCGCACAUACCCCCCUAGCCCCGUCCCCUCCCCGAGCACGGGGAGCCCCGAGCCGGCCCUCCCAUCGGCGCCGCUGCCCCUCCCCGUUGGCUAGGGUUCAGGCCGUCCGGCCAUCUCCGUCGCCCCACCCUCCCUCCGCUGGCGCAUAGAUCCCCCCCUGCCCCCUCCCCGAGCAUGGGGAGCCCCGAGCUGGCCCUCCCAUCGGCGCUGCCGCCCCUCCCCGUUCGCGAGGGUUGAGGCCGUCCGGCCAUAUCCGCUGCCCCACCCUCCCUCCGCUGGCAGGACCCGGCUCCUCAGGCGGUAAGGUGCUCCGGUGUGAAGGUGCUCCGGCGUGCUCAGAGCGUUUCCUCUGAUUUCCUGCUCGUGCAACAACUGUUGAUCUCCUGCUCGUGCAACAACUGUUGAUCUCCUGCUCGUGCAACAUGCUGCAUCUGGACACGCAUUAGUUUGAUGUUGGGAUCGUCGCCGCGGGGCUUCUUGCUGGAGGGACGAUCUGCACCGAACAUGCUUCGAGGGACUUCUUCACUUGCGCCGAGGGUAUGGAGGAUGAAGCUAAUGAGGUCGUGGAGGCGAUUGCCAAGAAGAUUGUCCAAGACAUGCCCUAUGAGGGGCGCGUCGAUGCCGUGGUGAAGUAUUUCGCGCACGAAAGCAACAUGCUUCUCAAAAAGCCACUAGCCCGGAGAGUGCAUCUGACCCGUUCCAUGUACUUGAAGGCGGUUCCCCCAUGGUGCAACAACAAUAUUCCUUGCUAUCAGCAAAUCAUAUCCAGGUGGAUAAACCCGGAGUGGAGGGCCGCACACAGAGCGUGUUCGGAGUAGCGUGCCAUGAUGGGUGGUCCAGUACACCUUCAAGGCAACCUCAACCUCCACGCUUACGUGCAGAAGAAGAAUAGGGAGAGAGGUGAGGGCGAACCGCGGCUCAAUACCUUCACGGGAUUAUGUCUUUCCCGCACGUCAAAGAAACCUGAAGGGGGGUGGGUCAACCUAGGAUCUGGCUUGAGGAUUGAUGCGUAUAGUGGGAAGUUCAAGGAGCACAACGGGCCCGAUUCUGAUCCGGCCUCACAGGACAUUGAUGUUACGGUUUCCCUCCAGGCAGGACAAGGCAAGAAGGGUGGCCGGUUAUAUGUUGGUGAUGGUGCCAUCCGUAAGAAGGAUAUUCCAAAACUCGCCCACCUUCGUGCUACCACAUCGAGCUCAGGUCCUGCUAUAGAGCGUCGCCUACAGCCUGGGCUGCACAUGAUGCAACAAUUUGAGGCCCGCCUAGAGGAAGAAGCCAGGUUGCUGCAGGAAGAAACCAGGUUGCGGAAGGAGGCUCAGGACAAUUUCCUCCUUCAACAGGAGCAAGCCAUGAAAAUGCAGCAAGCCCUCUUGCAACAACAGGAAUUCAUGGCCAAACAAUAGGCAGCCCUGCUUGAGACGUUCGCUCAGUUCAAAACUACUCCCUCCGUUCCUAAAUAUAAGUCUUUGAAGACAUUCCACUAUGGACCACAUACGGAGUAAAAUAAAUGAACUACACUCUAAAAUGCAUCUAUAUACAUCCGUAUAUGGCCCCAUAGUGAAAUCUCUACAAAGACUUAUAUUUAGGAACGGAGGGAGUAAUAUGCAGGGUUCUACUUUGCCGGAUCUUCCUCCUCUUCCGCCUCUUCCUACUUUCAGCUUUUGUUCUAAGUCGGGAUAAGCAAGCCCAGUGACACCCACUAGGGCUUCGACCUCCUUGCAACAAUGAUCACUCGAGGUAGUUGUCAUUGUGCUUCUGUUUGUGAACCUGGAACAAUGCUUUGUGUGAACUUGGAACUCACGCUUUUGAUUGUGAACCUGGAACAAUGCUUUGUGUAAACUUGGAACUCAUGAACCUUGUUGGAUAUGUACGCAUGUGUGGACUUGGAACUUAUGGUCCUUUCAUUUGCGAACUAUUGUUGCAUAUGUACGCAUCUAUGGACUUCCGUUGGAUAUAUAUUGUUGUUGUGAACC